rnacentral:misc_RNA from 1 species
UUUCCGUAGGUGAACCUGCGGAAAGAUCAUUAAAAAGUGGUGGUGCAGGAGGCCUCUGAGGCUAUUCACCCUGUAAAUCAUCCCCCUAGGCUGUUUACACUUGGGCUUGCCCUUGCUAAACUAGCCUAGGCCACUUUACCCUUGAUAAAACUACCAUUGUUGCUUUGGCAGGUCGUGGCCUUGGCCCAUAGCGCCUGCCAGAGGACCCAAACUCUUUUGUUAUGUGACGUCUGAGAACUAUAUAAUAGUUAAAACUUUCAACAACGGAUCUCUUGGUUCUG